rnacentral:lncRNA from 1 species
CCAUUUACCAAUCAAUGAUUCAAUCUCAAUCAAUUCCAAUCAAUUUAGGGUAAAUCCCUAAAAUAUCACAAUUUAUUCAAUUCCAUACAACGUAGAGCUCAAAUAAAUAAACGGACUGCGCCACGACAAUCAACACGAGAUUUCGGUCGUCGGCCAUCAAAAUCUUAAUUUCCGAAAAAUAAUUAAUUUAUUUAUUAAUUUCGAAAAUUAAAUAAUUAUUAUUAAAAAUUCAAUUUAGCUCAAAAUAAAGCCUGAUUACAUAAACGGACUUCACCACGGUCAUCAGCAUAAUUUUCCGGUUCCAGACCAUCUCAGUUGAAUUUUCGGAAAAUAAAUAAUUAUUUAAUUAAUUCCGAAAAUUAAUAUUUAAAUACUAAAAAUAUCCACUUAGUCCCGAAAAGCCUAAUUGGAGCCCACUAAGGGUCGGGAAAAAUCCCGAGGCACUUCCAAUAAUUAGUAGACCACGUCUACUUGCUAAUUACAUAAUCAAUUUAUCUAAAUCACAUCACAAUUGACUAAUAAUUGCUAAUUUAUUCUAAUCUAACAACCUAAACAUAAUUAAUUAAAUCUAAACCAGCUUAAAGCAUAAUUAGCCACUAAUCCUGGAUUAGUGAGAUUACUCACCAAAUCGCGCGCAAAUCGGAUCAAUCCGACGGCGGCGACGCGAGGAACGAUACUUCCCAAAGCACGGCUCGGGUUCGGGGCCCGGAAACGGCCCAAAACGGGCCCGAACCAGCUGGAAACCCAUUUCGUGGGUUUCUGCCCUUGGCUGGUCGGAGCAGAUCCGGCGGCCAAAACGGCGAGGGAAGGCCGGCGGAGAGCAAGGGGAACGCCGGGGAAGUCCGGCGGGGCUGGGCGGUGGCCGGAGGUGGCCGGACGGUGGCUGGUCAGGGCGGAACCGAGCUGAACAGAGGCUGGUUCGUUCGGGGAGGUCGCCUGGUGCGAGGGAACAGAGCUGGCGGUGCACAGCGGCGAGCGGCGGGCGCACGGGCGGUUCGGCUCCGGUGCGGCGGCGAUGGGCGGCUGGUCGCUGCUUCCGAUCUUCUUCAGCUUCUGGUUCGCUGCUUCCGCGAAGAAGAAAGAAGGAGAAGAAGGGCUCGGUCACGUGGGGGAGAAGAGAGAAGAGAGAGUAGAGAGAGAGAAGGGAUAAGGGGGUUUGACUGGUCAAAAAAAGAAAAAGAAGAGAGAGUAGGCGGUGGGGAAGGGUUUCGCACGAGGGGGAGGGAAAGAAGAGGGAGAAAAAGAAAAAGAAUAAUACUAUUCUAAAUUUUCUUUUCUCUUUCCAUUUCCCUUUCUAAUUUCUUCCGGUCUUCGAUUUUUCCUCCGAUAAUUUCUUUCUUGAAAUUUCGGACUCGUCAAUAAUUUGACAGACGAUGAGACAGGGUCCUAAAAAUGAAUUGUGACACUCUCGAAUAUUCGAUUCCCGAAACCAAAUCAAAUUCCAUGGUUAAAAUCGACCGGACGUGAUUUUAGUCCAAUCCAACCAAUUUGGUAGCUUUUAGGGAUUUUACCAUGGAUAUAUCCCUUAACAGCUUCACCCAAUAGGUUAGUUAACUCGUGAGUGAUCAGCUCAGAGAAAAAGGAC